rnacentral:misc_RNA from 1 species
GUUCUGAGUAUUUUUAAAUGAAUUUUGAAGUAUGGACAUUUAGCACUAGUGUCUAUGGGAAUUUAUUUGCAGGCGCGCACCCUAUAGAUCCUGAGUGGUGGCGGCCAUGUUGUUAUGACGGGGGAUUUCAACGUGUGCUUUUUAUUGCUCAAGGGCUUUUGCAGCUGGGGAGCCUGCAGUUACUGGGCAACCAGCAGCUGCGCACUUUUUGACUAUUGAAUUGGCGUGUCUGUUAUUCACCAAGUGCACUGCGCUAUGGUCUCGACAAGAACCAUUUCUUGAGAAGGCUACUUAUCGAGGGAACAGUUGUGUCCAUUGCAGACAACAGCCGCCUAGCCCCAGCAGCUGCAAUGCCGGUGUUGUAAAGACCAACCUGGAACGCCAUGUUGGGAGUGGCAGUCCGUCUUCCUCUCCCCGUCUGUGGAAUUUCGGUGAACAGUUUUGUCUUGUCAGUGCAGAACCCACACUUUUGGCAGGACAGUACCUCGGACACAGCCAAACCUCGUCGCUCCUCAGCAUCUGGCAUCAAUGUGGGCCGGCCGCUGCAAUCAGGAUGUGUGCGUUGGUGAUCUAGGAUAGCCUGCGCUCCCAAGUCGACUGCAGAAUUGAUGUCGACGAAUCGGUAGGCUGCUCGCUUCCCUCCAUCUGACUGAUCAGCUGGGCUCUGGUGCUGGAGUUCUCUUCUACAGAGGGGCUGUGGUACUGCUUCCUUCUUGAGUUGGAGUUUGUCAAGGGGAGUAGUUUCAGCAGCGUUUGGUCGAAGCAGCAUGACUUUCCUUGUCGGCACUGCAUUGGGCGUGGUACAGAUGAACCCCCGCUCAUCUCUUUCAACAGCAAGUUGCAUCUGCUGUUGUGUUGGCCUUGUGUACACUGUUGGUGAGUUCAUCUGAAAAUGACUGAUUGGGGAUUUACACUUUGCAGGGAAUAGUUUAUGGCCAUUCUGGAACCAGCUUUUCUUCCUUUUGUACACUGCUCGUCCCAAUCGACCCAUACUGAAACUGCUGCAGAAAUAGCUGGUUUUGCAAAAUUGAGAUUGUUUUUCCCCUGUGUGAGCAUGUGACAGAAUGCAUGUGGUCACACUAACUCUCAAUGCCAGAGUGAUGACUAUACAGCACAUGUUUGGUUAAUAAUUCAGAAGCCAGUCUGUACAGAGAGUUUAUUUCUGUUGUUAUUUUAUGGG